CAUGAUGUAGCUUAAACACAUAUAAAGCAUCUGGCCUACACCCAGAAGACUUCAAAACAAAUGAACAUCAUGA
rnacentral:tRNA from 1 species